AUAUGGACCCCUAGGAUGCAAUGAGAACAUUGACUCAGCUGAUCAAGAGGAUGAACUCAGAGCUGCUACCAACAGAAGAUGUCUUAUGAGAGGAGAACUUGGCAGGAAAUGACUGAAAGGACAAAUGGCCUGCUGACAGAUGAAAACUGGAUCAAAGCAGAUAAACAAAAAGGAAUUAAGAAACACGGGCAGCUUGGAUCCAUGGCACCUAAUACCUGCUUUCACCUGGCUCCAAGAAACAUACAAAUGCAGCUCAAGCCAGAGGGAGCAUCAUGGACUGGGGCGGUGGGAACAGAGGAGCCAAGCAGAGGGUGGACCAUUCAAGGUGAAGAAACAUCUCAGCCAAAAUGAAGAGAAAUGGGAGGAACCUGAGCUAAAUUUCAAGUGUUUUCACAAAGGACUCCAAGUGGGCUUUCACAAGUGGAGCAACUUUUCCAACUCUUUGAAAGGUCAUCUUGUUUGUGGAUGGAGGUUCAACAAAAAAGUCUUAGUUCUAAAACCCCUGUGCAGAAAGUUGA